GAUGAACGCUGGCGGCGUGCCUAAUACAUGCAAGUCGAGCGAACAGAUGAGGAGCUUGCUCCUCUGACGUUAGCGGCGGACGGGUGAGUAACACGUGGAUAACCUACCUAUAAGACUGGGAUAACUUCGGGAAACCGGAGCUAAUACCGGAUAAUAUAUUGAACCGCAUGGUUCAAUAGUGAAAGACGGUUUUGCUGUCACUUAUAGAUGGAUCCGCGCCGCAUUAGCUAGUUGGUAAGGUAACGGCUUACCAAGGCAACGAUGCGUAGCCGACCUGAGAGGGUGAUCGGCAACACUGGAACUGAGACACGGUCCAGACUCCUACGGGAGGCAGCAGUAGGGAAUCUUCCGCAAUGGGCGAAAGCCUGACGGAGCAACGCCGCGUGAGUGAUGAAGGUCUUCGGAUCGUAAAACUCUGUUAUUAGGGAAGAACAAAUGUGUAAGUAACUAUGCACGUCUCGACGGUACCUAAUCAGAAAGCCACGGCUAACUACGU
rnacentral:rRNA from 1 species